rnacentral:rRNA from 1 species
CACGUAGGGCGCAAGCGUUGUCCGGAAUUAUUGGGCGUAAAGAGCUCGUAGGCGGUCUGUUGCGUCCGCUGUGAAAACCCGGGGCUUAACCCCUGGCUUGCAGUGGAUACGGACAGACUAGAGGUAGGUAGGGGAGAAUGGAAUUCCCGGUGUAGCGGUGAAAUGCGCAGAUAUCGGGAGGAACACCGGUGGCGAAGGCAGCUCGCUGGGACGGUACUGACGCUGAGACGCGAAAGCGUGGGGAGCAAACAGG